rnacentral:lncRNA from 1 species
UUAAAUCUGAACAGAACUUAAUUAAAAAAUAAAGCCCUUGUUUAUUCUAAUCAAAUUUGUGUUGCACUACCUUGCUUCAACAGACAAGAGGAUUUCCUACGUCAGAAAUAAAUGAAAUAGGAUAUUGACUUCAGGAAAUUGACAAUAAUCUUUAUGCCAUUCCUAAGGUUUUAGCAUGUGGACCUCAGUCCCUCUUCUCUGCCUUAGACAGUCUUGGGCUUAAAGGAAGUCAUGACAGUAAUUUCAGCCAAAAUGACAGGAGUCUGAGCUGGGGAAGUGGGGCAGAGAUUGUCCAGAUUUCGAUCUCUUAGGUGGUUUCUGGUACAUAUAUGAUCUUAGUGCCAGAUUACACCUCAUUGCACAAACAGCCUUCUCCAUAAAAUCAGCUUUCAGAUUUUGCCCCUCACAUUGAGUUUUCCUGGGUGUGAACUUCAGUUUCAGUUAUUGGAAAAUGAAGCAUCGUAAAGGGAGCUAGAAAGUCUGACAAGCAGAUCUCUUAACCCAAGUCCAUGAUCUCCACCUCAGAAAAACUUAUUGCAAGUUAACCGAAAUCCACACAGGUUCCUAAUUCUUUUUCCAUUCUGGACUGCAUAAUGCUAGAAGUUUUAAAGCAUUUAUGAUGUAAUAUUAGUCCCACGACUAGUACUACAACUAAUACUCAUGGUAAUACUGAUGGCAAUCUACUAAUACUAAAAAUAAUAAUAAUCACCACCAUAUGCCUCAAAAUAUUUUGUGGGUCAUAAAUAAGCAAUAAUAGCAUUCAACAUUUCUCCAAUACUACUCAUGGCUUUUAUAGCAACAAAAUUUUCUAUCGCUUGGAAAAAAAAUAUAUCCUUAGAUAUUAAGUUCACUUUAUAAAUUAAAUUCCACUGAAACUGGUUUUCUGUAUUAUUCAAAGUUAGAUGACUAGUAGGGGGAAUUCAAAUCCUACUCUCAAGUCUUUUUAUCCAUCCAUCCAUCCAUCCAUCCAUUAAGUUCCUCCCCAGUUACCUACAGGUGAUCUGACUUACUCAUACUCCACUCUGUAGUGAGUAACAUUUCAAAGAUUCAUUAAGUUAUAAAACUCCCCAGCUUUAAGAAUUUUGACUUUUCCACUGACCUUUUCCAGCAGGUUGUACUGUGCUUGAAUAGAUCCCUUUGAAAAGAGCUCAUGGUGGGCAAUCAACCCCUGAACAACUUUCAACUAUCAAGCAAUGUCAAGGGCCCCUGUAGUGAAUACCCUGUUUUAUUUUCAACUUUCAUGUGACACACCGAUUCCCAGGUUGAAUUUCUUGCACAGGUUAUUUUCAAUACACUUUUGAAUGAUUAUUUCUGUAUUACUAAAACCUAGGAACUAUUACCUGGGGAUUGCAUUCACAUCUUUUGUGUGAAAAAAUGACACAUCUGUGAUGUUUUUAACAGUUAUUUAGGUGAUGUUCUCUCUCAAAGCUAAUGAUAGGAACUGUUUGUUUUAAAUUUGGACCACAGUGAGCCAGUUACUGAAGUAUUUGAGGGUAAUUGGGGAGAAAAUAAGCUUGGCAUUUUAGAAAUUCUUUAAGGAAUUAUGUAAACAAGUCUAAUGAUGAGAAUGAUACCCUUUUCAAAAGUGGAAUAAAAGGGAUUCUGUGAACUAGGGAUAGUGAAGAUUGAUAUUAAUCCAAGGCAAAUUUCUAGAAUAGCAUAUUUUUAGAAGUGUACAUAAGCAUUUAAGAAUUAAUGCAAACUUUACUUUUUUAUUUUUAUAUAGUUUUAAAUGUUACUUUCCAUUUACAGUCAUUAGGAAAUAUUGGCUAUAUUCCUUGUGUUGUAUAAUACCUUAAUGAGCCUAUCUCAUACCCAAUAGUUUGUACCUCCCAUCCCCACCUCUAUAUUGCCCCUUCCCACCCCUCACUGAUAACCACUAGUUUUUUCUCUAUAUCUGCGUGUCUGCUGCUUUUUUUGUUACAUUCACCAGUUUAUUGUAUUUUUUAGAUCCCACACAUAAGCGAUCAUAUAGUAUUUGUCUUUUUUUCACAUAUUUCACUUAGUAUAAUGCCCUCCAAUUCCAUUCGUGUUGCUGCAAAUGGCAAAAUUUUAUGCUUUUUUAUGGAAGAAGAGUUAUUUAUAUAUAAUGAAUAAAUUAUAAAUGUAUGUAUACACCACUCUUCUUUAUCCAUUUAUCUGUUGAUGGACACAGGUUAUAUCCAUAUCUUGGCAACUGUACAUAAUGCUGCUAUGAGCAUUGGGGUGCAUGUAUCUUUUCAAAUUAGUGUUUUGGAAUUUUUUUUUUCCAGAUAUAUACUCAGAAGUGGAAUUUCUGGGUCAUAUAGUAGUUCCACUUUCAGUUUUUGGAGAAACCUCCAUACCAUUUUCCACAGUGGCUGCACCAAUUUAAGAUUCCCAUCAACAGUGCACCAGGGUUCCCUUUUCUCCACAUUCUCCCCAACAUUUGUUAUUUGUGUUCUUUUCGAUGACAGCCAUUCUGACAGGUGUGAGGUAAUGAUGAUUAGCAGUGUUAAACACCUUUUCAUAUGCCCAUUUGUCCUCUGCAUUUCCUCUUUGGAAAAAUGUCUAUUCAGUUCUGCCCUUUUUUUUUUUUUUUAUUUUGCCCACUUUUAAAUCGGGUUGUUUUUGAUGUUGAGUUGUCAGAGUUGUUUACAUAUGUUGAAUAUUAAUCCCUUAUCAAUCAUUGCAUUUGCAAAUAUUUUCUCCCAUUCAGUUGGUUGUCUUUUCCUUUGGGGAUGGUUUCCUUUGCUGUGCAAACCUUUUAAGUUUAUUUAGCUCCCAUUGGUUUAUUUUUACUUUUCAUUGUAGUUGAUUUACAAUGUUUCUUCAGUUUCUGUUGUACAUCCAAGUGACCCAGUCACACACAGUUCCCUGUGCUGUACAGUAGGGCCCCACUGCCCAUUCAUUCCAAAUAUUAUAGAGUCCACCAACGCCAAACUCCCUGUCCAUCUCAUUCCCUCCCCGCUCCCCCUGGCAACCACAAGUCUGCUCUCCAUGUCCAUGAACUGUUUCUGUUUAUUUUUGUUUUUAUUUCCUUUACUUUAGGAGACUGACCAAAAAUAUAUUGCUAUGGUUUAUGUCAAAAAUGUUCUGCCUGUUUUUCUUACAUUGCCUAUGAUAGAAACAAAUUUUAUUAAAAGAGAGAGAUGCUUAAUUUCAUUUUUCUGGAAAAAUAACCUGGACCAAGUUUAUAGAAACAACUAUCAAUAUGUAAAAGUUAAAAUCAAAAUUGGGGGAGUGAGUCUAGAGUAUCAUGAAGGAAAUCCCUUUAGAGGCAAGGGCAGUGUGAUAGAGAAAUAUAGAAAAAGGCUAGUAAAGGAAUUUCUUCUGUCAAAAGCUACUUGACAAAAAGUAAUUUGAAUCUCCUUUUCCUUUCUUCUAUUUCACAUCUUUAAACCUGUAUCAAUUUGGGAAUAAGAAAAAAAGUUUUUUAUAAGGUAGGUAAGAAAUGUGAGUAAAAGACAUUUUGGAGUAAUGAGUACAUUGUAAUAAGAAAAGUUUCAAGUGCUAAAGUGAGCAAUGUUGACAACAAAGCAAAAAUACCCUUGGAAGCAUUUCUCAUUUAAAAAAAAAAAGUAUAAUGUAUUCUCCAAGUUCAUGAUUUUCUUUUCUGUGGAAAUGUUCAUUUGUGCUGUAUAUUAGAUUCCAGAUAUGUGAUAUCAUAUGGUAUUUGUCUUUCUCUUUCUGACUUACUUCAAUUAGUAUGAGAGUCUCUAGUUCCAUCUAUGUUGCUGCAAAUGGCAUUAUUUUGUUCUUUUUUGUGGCUGAGUAGUAUUGCCAAAGGGGAGGGGGAGGGAGUGGCAUGGAUUGGGAACUUGGGGUUAAUAGAGGCAGACUGUUGUCUUUAGAAAUAGAUAAGCAAUGAGAUCCUGCUGUGUAGCACUGGGAACUAUAUCUAGUCACUUAUGAUGGAGCAUGACAAUGGGAGAAAAGAGAACCUGUACAUUUAUGUGUAACUGGUCACCAUGCUGUACUGUGGAAAAUUGACAGAACACUGUAAACCGGCUAUAACGAAAAAAAACAAAAAUCAUUAUAUAUGAAAAAACUUAGCUAAACAACAACAAAAAUCAUUUUAUAUGAAAUGAUUAUAUAUGAAAAAACUUAGCUAAACAACAACAAAAAAGUAUAGUGACAGUACAAGGAAGAAAUAUAAUGACAAUGCCAUUUCCCACCAUGAGUAGACCAUUAAGUGGAAAUUUAAUGGUAAUUCUCUUUGGUCAGCUGCCCUUGUAAGUUUGUAGAUAAAAGACAGGUAAUUUUAGGUUUUUUUUUUUUUUUUUUAGUUGGAAAAAAACCAUAGUUUCCUCAAGGUCCAAAGUCACGUUGGAUGAAAUACAAGUAGAUGUGCACCAGUUCAAGUGGUGCAGACUGGACAUGCUUGUCCCCAUGUGCAGCAGACAAAUGAGUUGCAAGACAAAGUCUUUUGUAAUGGAUGCCAUCCACUUGGCUUUGGCAAAGACCUCCACCAGUGCAGCAUCAGUUACAGAAAACCGCCACCUCAUGUCAUCAAUAGAGCCAAUGAUUUGUUCAAAAUUUCCUAAAAAUCCUUUGGUUUUACCAAAACAUCAUACUGAGAGCUAGGGGAACAAGAUCUUACAAAUAGCCAAAGAAUAAGAAAAUGGCAGUAUAAAAUCAAAUUUAGCAAUUUAGUUGCUUUCUUAGUAAAAAUCCCUCUCAACCAAAAUGUUUAAGAAGCAGUUUUUCUCCUUGUUUAUUUGUUUGAUUUACAUAUAAGAAACAUGUUGUGACAUUACUUCAACUAAUUUACUGGUUAUUAUUCAAUAGUCACUGCUAACUCUAGCUCUGUGAUGUGCCAAGCUAAAUAAAAGAAUGAUUAUAACCUUCCAAGAAAAAUGCAGUAAUCUCAAAUCCAAUCUUAGUCUCAGAACAUCAUGACUAGUUUUGUUUUCUCUUUUUGUGUAAUUAGUAUAUCACACAUUAAAAUUGCUAUGAUUAAAUGCUGUGUAUCUUGAUUUUAGUAAAAUUUAGACAAAGUUUCUCUUAAUAGUUGCUUCAAAAAAGGAAUGUGAAAUUACAAAAAUACAGUUAAGUGGUUUUCAGUGGUUGAGCAAGCAUAUCCAAAAAGACCCAAUUCCUGAAAUUGCAGUAAUCAACCUAAGGUUAAUAAGUAAACUAUAUUUAACAGAUUCAUAUUUAUUAAUGUUAAAUAAUACAUUUAACAUUUGUAUUAGCAGCUUACAUCAAGACAGCAGUACAAGUUCAAGUAUCUGUAGCUGAUACAAGUCCAUUUAGGGAUCUGCUUCCUUGGAUUUCAGAAUUGUAAUAUAGGCAAUAACAAGGCAUAAUAAUUCAAAAGGACUCACUUGAAAAUUACAGGUUAGUUUAGGACUAGAAUAACAGUAUAUCCUGUGAAAAACUACUAAAGAAUUGAGCUAUAAUUACAAGUUAAAUGUGAGCCAACAGCAUUAUAUGAAUGCCAAAU